GCCACCGCCUUCGUCGCCGCUGCUGCCAAGGUUUGUGGAAGAGAGUGUCAUCAUCACCGUGAGUGGAGUCCACCGUCCGAGCCGCCACUAGAGAGCGCCGCUGCUACCAUGUUUACAGAAAAGAGGAGCAUCGCGAGAAUCAAGGGAAGAAGAUGUUCUGCCUCUGCCUCUGGGUUCUGUGAGUUGCCGGAGCUCUCUGCCACCAGGAGCCAACAUUCGAGCUGCCCAGGAAACAACCAAUAGAACCACUACUGUUUUUAGAUUAUUGUAAAAUUACCUUGCCGCCGCCGUUACUGGAGGCAGCUGCCGGCUCUAUUUGGAGAUUGCUAGUGCCAUUGGAGUCGCCGAGAACCAAUGUUGGAGCCGCUCUUGAUGAUUCUGAUGCUGCUACAUAGGUCCCGAGCUGCUGUGUUGUUGCUAGAGGAAGGGAACUCAUAGGAAAAACGUCACCGAGGCUGCUGCUUGGUUUAAUUGCGUUGUUAAUGCGACAUUGAGCGACAGGUUUGAAGACGCAAUUUGAAGCUGCGAGCGAUCAAUAGGCUUUCUUUAUGGUUUUAAUUGCU